AUUGAACGCUGGCGGCAGGCCUAACACAUGCAAGUCGAGCGGAUGACGGGAGCUUGCUCCUUGAUUCAGCGGCGGACGGGUGAGUAAUGCCUAGGAAUCUGCCUGGUAGUGGGGGACAACGUUUCGAAAGGAACGCUAAUACCGCAUACGUCCUACGGGAGAAAGCAGGGGACCUUCGGGCCUUGCGCUAUCAGAUGAGCCUAGGUCGGAUUAGCUAGUUGGUGAGGUAAUGGCUCACCAAGGCGACGAUCCGUAACUGGUCUGAGAGAAUAGUACGUCAGACUGGAACUGAGACACGGUCCAGAAUCCUACGGGAGGCAGCAGUGGGGAAUAAUGGACAAUGGGCGAAAGCCUGAUACAGCCAUGCCGCGUGUGUGAAGAAGGUCUUCGGAUUGUAAAGCACUUUAAGUUGGGAGGAAGGGCAGUAAGUUAAUACCUUGCUGUUUUGACGUUACCGACAGAAUAAGCACCGGCUAACUCUGUGCCAGCCGCCGCAGUAA
rnacentral:rRNA from 1 species